CCUACGGGUGGCAGCAGUGAGGAAUAUUGGUCAAUGGGCGGGAGCCUGAACCAGCCAAGCCGCGUGAGGGAAGAAGGUACAGCGUAUCGUAAACCUCUUUUGUCAGGGAACAAAGGCGGGGACUAGUCCCCGGAUGAGGGUCCCUUAAGAACAAGCAUCGGCUAACUCCGUGCCAGCAGCCGCGGUAAUACGGAGGAUGCAAGCGUUAUCCGGAUUUAUUGGGUUAAAGGGGUGCGCAGGCGGCCUGUUAAGUCAGCGGUAAAAGCCCGGGGCUAAACCCCGGCGAGCCGUUGAAACUGGCGGGCUGGAGUGGGAGAGAAGUAAGCGGAAUGCGCGGUGUAGCGGUGAAAUGCUUAGAUAUCGCGCAGAACCCCGAUUGCGAAGGCAGCGUACCGGAUCCAAACUGACGCUGAGGCACGAAAGCGUGGGUAUCGAACAGGAUUAGAUACCCUUGUAGUC
rnacentral:rRNA from 1 species